rnacentral:lncRNA from 1 species
CUUCAGACACAUCUGCUCUUUUGGCAACCACUGCCCUAUUGAAGCCUUCUCAUUGGCUCAUGUUAACCAUAUGAUAGGCCUCCUGGAACUUAUUUGUGGCUCCCAAUGCUGAAAGCAAAGGCAGAGAGGGUUGCGACUCUGCAAUGCUAAACUCCAAAUCCUGGAUCAGAAGUGCAGAGACAACAGGAAGUAUAAUGGUUGUCCAUCAAUCAGAAAAUUAUGGUAUAUGAAUGCAAUAGACACUUGCUUCAUGACUGGUAGGUAAGUCAUAGCCUUUGUGCCUCAUUUUCUUCAUCUGUUAAAAUGAAGAUUAUAAUAACACCUAUCUCACAGGAUUUGUUGUAAGGAUCAAAUGAGAAUAUUUAUGAAGUUUUUUUGCAAAUCUUAAAUCAUUAUAUAAAUGCUAGCUAUUAUUGCUAGCUUUUACUAACAAAAUAUUAUUGUAAUAUCAGAAAUGAUGAAAGGCUUAGGUUCAAGUCAGUAUGGUAAGACUUGUUUGAACUGAUAUAGACCGAAAGGAACAGAACUAGAAUAAUUUAAAUAAUGACUACAAUAUUGUAAAGAAAAACAGUUUUGAAAAACUUAAGAUGUCUAAGCUAUUCAAUGUCCAG